rnacentral:snoRNA from 1 species
CCCAGGGGGAGAAGUGCUUUCCUACACCGUUGGAGAGGAAGCCAGCCCUGUGUCUGUGCUCCUCUCUACCUACCACUUCGCAGAGCCCUUGGACGACUGUGGAGAUAAACCAUGCAGGAAACAGCG